rnacentral:rRNA from 1 species
AUACGGAGGAUCCGAGCGUUAUCCGGAUUUAUUGGGUUUAAAGGGAGCGUAGGGGGAUUGUUAAGUCAGUUGUGAAAGUUUGCGGCUCAACCGUAAAAUUGCAGUUGAAACUGGCAGUCUUGAGUACAGUAGAGGUGGGCGGAAUUCGUGGUGUAGCGGUGAAAUGCUUAGAUAUCACGAAGAACUCCGAUUGCGAAGGCAGCUCACUAGACUGUUACUGACACUGAUGCUCGAAAGUGUGGGUAUCAAACAGGAUUAGAUACCCUGGUAGUCCACACAGUAAACGAUGAAUACUCGCUGUUUGCGAUAUACAGUAAGCGGCCAAGCGAAAGCAUUAAGUAUUCCACCUGGGGAGUACGCCGGCAACGGUGAAACUCAAAUGAAUUGACGGGG